GGGCCUGUAGCUCAGUUGGUUAGAGCGCACGCCUGAUAAGCGUGAGGUCGGUGGUUUAAAUCCACCCAGGCCCA
rnacentral:tRNA from 1 species